rnacentral:ribozyme from 1 species
UUUGUUGGGAAGGUCUGAGGCUCCGAGAGCCAUUGACGUACCCGAGUGGGCAGCCGAUGGACAAAAGCCGGUUACGCUGACCAGGGAGUUGGCCCGUGUCGCUUGUA